UGGGGAAUCUUGCGCAAUGGGCGAAAGCCUGACGCAGCCAUGCCGCGUGGAUGAUGAAGGUCUUAGGAUUGUAAAAUCCUUUCACCGGGGACGAUAAUGACGGUACCCGGAGAAGAAGCCCCGGCUAACUUCGUGCCAGCAGCCGCGGUAAUACGAAGGGGGCUAGCGUUGCUCGGAAUUACUGGGCGUAAAGGGCGCGUAGGCGGGUCGCUAAGUUGGGGGUGAAAGCCCGAGGCUCAACCUCGGAAAUGCCUUCAAUACUGGCGACCUUGAGUAUGGGAGAGGUGAGUGGAACUCCGAGUGUAGAGGUGAAAUUCGUAGAUAUUCGGAAGAACACCAGUGGCGAAGGCGACUCACUGGCCCAUUACUGACGCUGAGGCGCGAAAGCGUGGGGAGCAAACAGG
rnacentral:rRNA from 1 species